rnacentral:lncRNA from 1 species
GCUGCAUCACAAAAGUAGCAUCAUUUCAAUCUGUGAUUAUCAGGAACUUGCUAAUUAAUAAUCAUCACCAACUGUGUAAUAUCAAGUUGAAGCACAGUUAAGAAAUGGUCUUCACAUCAAUUUUUCCCCAGUCAUACAAGAGGAUGACAAUCUUGGGCUAUGGAGUUGGAUCUCUCACACUCGCCUGCAAUAACAGGCAAGUACUUGAGAAAAAAAGACCCCUCCAAAAAUUAAGUCUAGAAGUACAUGGCCGGCAUAUAGUCCUAUACAAAGCAACUACACCUAAACUUUAGCCCAGCAAAAAUGGCAGCGCCGAAAAAACUUCCAGAAUGGAAGGAAAAACAUGAUCCGCCAAGGAUAUCAAUCAAUCGCUCCAUCGAAGCAACAUGACAACGCAGCGACGGAAGAUGUAGAACCUAGCUCUCUUCUCCCUGAAAGCUCUGUUGAGCCUCCCUUGUCCUCCAAGCUUCAUGGUCUGGACAAAAAUCUUGAUGAAGGCAAAGGAUAGGAGGAAUGCAGCUAGACAGCUUGUAGACUGUGAUGGCUAGUGUGGUAUGAGAGGGAAGGUAAGUGGGGGGGUCUUUAUAUAGAGGCACACAAAGGAUGAUAUGCCAUAUCAAAUGAACAUCAUGCCCCCCACAUGCAGGCAGUUUGUUUAUGCACUAGGAGGCACACCUCUGACCCUAAACUUAUCCUACUCAUUAUUCUAUUUGUUUGGAGCUUAGGAGCUAGCGAAGAAAUUAAAUUAUGUAUGGGCCAUGACUAUCUCAGAGAAUUACAGUGGUAAAACCAGACAAGAUUAAGUGGUCAUCCAUCCAACCAUGCAACAAAGGCAGAUAAAGGUUGUUUAUUGAUUUCAAGAAAGGGCUCCGUAACAUAUCCCUCUAAUGCUUAGUGGGAAACUUCCAGGAAGGUCACCUUGAUGCAUAAAUUAUAACUAAUUAAGCAUACCACUAACAGGUGUUAAGGUCUGGUAAUACUGCAAUAAGGAAAUGUUCCACACAAACGACGAAGCUGAGAGUAAAAACUACACACUUCUAUGAGACAUGUCUGGUUCCAGUUUUCACGCACUGACAUGGAGUUCGAACUAAUUAAAAUUCUACUUGACAGAUGUUAAGGCCCAGUAGUAUUGCAUAAAAUGUUCUACCAAAAUCUUAACCUGGGGGAGUGGGAGGUAAGGGUUGGACUUCCAGGAGACUUGUCUGAGUACACUUUCCAUGCAGUGGGAUGGAG